GUGGCUGUAGCUCAGUGGCAGAGCGCCAGGAUGUGACCCUGGAGGCGCCGGUUCAACUCCGGCCAGUCACC
rnacentral:tRNA from 1 species